CUACGGGUGGCUCCAGUGAGGAAUAUUGCACAAUGGGGGGAACCCUGAUGCAGCAACGCCGCGUGGAGGAUGACGCAUUUCGGUGUGUAAACUCCUUUUAUAUGUCAAGAAAAUGACGGUAGCAUAUGAAUAAGCACCGGCUAACUCCGUGCCAGCAGCCGCGGUAAUACGGAGGGUGCAAGCGUUAUUCGGAAUCACUGGGCGUAAAGGACGCGUAGGCGGGUUGGAAAGUCAGGUGUGAAAACCUACAGCUUAACUGUAGAACUGCACUUGAAACUUCUAAUCUAGAGUAUGGGAGGGGGAGAUGGAAUAAGGGGUGUAGGGGUAAAAUCCGUAGAUAUCAGUAGGAAUACCUAAAGCGAAGGCGAUCUCCUGGAACAUUACUGACGCUAAGGCGUGAAAGCGUGGGGAGCAAACAGGAUUAGAUACCCGAGUAGUC
rnacentral:rRNA from 1 species